GAUGAACGCUGGCGGCGUGCCUAAUACAUGCAAGUCGAGCGAACAGACGAGGAGCUUGCUCCUCUGGCGUUAGCGGCGGACGGGUGAGUAACACGUGGAUAACCUACCUAUAAGACUGGGAUAACUUCGGGAAACCGGAGCUAAUACCGGAUAAUAUAUUGAACCGCAUGGUUCAAUAGUGAAAGACGGUUUUGCUGUCACUUAUAGAUGGAUCCGCGCCGCAUUAGCUAGCUGGUAAGGUAACGGCUUACCAAGGCAACGAUGCGUAGCCGACCUGAGAGGGUGAUCGGCCACACUGGAACUGAGACACGGUCCAGACUCCUACGGGAGGCAGCAGUAGGGAAUCUUCCGCAAUGGGCGAAAGCCUGACGGAGCAACGCCGCGUGAGUGAUGAAGGUCUUCGGAUCGUAAAACUCUGUUAUUAGGGAAGAACAAAUGUGUAAGUAACUAUGCACGUCUUGACGGCACCUAAUCAGAAAGCCACGGCUAACUACGUG
rnacentral:rRNA from 1 species